CUCUCGGUGGCCAAGCUGGCUAAGGCGCGAGACUGUAAUGGAAUUUGUAAUCUUGAGAUCGGGUGUUCGACUCACCCCCGGGAGA
rfam:Clavispora lusitaniae ATCC 42720 scaffold_1 genomic scaffold, whole genome shotgun sequence.